CACAAUAAAAUAUCAUAAACAAAUAAAAAUGUGUACACAAAAGCGUUGAUUAUAACUACAAGUCUAUAACUACAAUUCAAUAAUCAUAAUUUUACAAGCGAAUUUUGUUUCUUCAAUUCGUUGAUCUAUAGUGAUAGGUAUCAUUGUGCAGGUAAGGAGAGAAUGCCAAACACAGUAAACCCAACUCCAUUAUCAUGUGUUAAGUAUCCAAAGCUGGCUUAGAAUUAUCCUGUAAUAAAAAGAAACAUAGAAUUUCAUCUCUUGAUAGUUAAUAUAUAAAGCCUCAAGGGCUCUAUCUGAUAGAUUUAAUAAAUAAAUAAAUAAAUAAUUUCUCCUCCACAAUUUGAGGGGUUAAAGGUAAUUAGGGAAGGUAUGGGCUUCCUUCCAGUAUAGACAGAACAAUUGCGAAAAAGGAUAAAACUUCUCUUGUUCAUCACGUUAAGUAUAAGUCCAACUAACCAAGAAGAAACCAAAUAAAAUAUAUAUCUUAUCUUUAUUUAGAAAGGGGUAAGUAACAAAAUAUAUUGUUACCCACAUAUACUUACAUAAGGAUUUUCUGCAAUCCAAUCAGGAUUGUUUUCUGAUAGAAAAGUGAUAUAUUGCUUAAUGGCCUGCUCUGGACUCAUAAUCCCAAGUUGUCGCCAUGCGAUCCUUACACAAAAAUAAUCCAAUUAACUACAUCAAAGAAUCUAAUGAAGUAAUCAUAACUCUGGGAAGACG
rnacentral:lncRNA from 1 species